GUACUUGCUUUGGCAGUACAUAUACUAAAAGUGGAACGAUACAGAGGAGAUUAGCAUGGUCCCUGCGCAAUGGAUGACACGCAAAAUCGUGAGGCGUUUCACAUUUUU